UACGGGGGGGGCAAGCGUUGUUCGGAAUUACUGGGCGUAAGGGGCUCGUAGGUGGCCAACUAAGUCAGACGUGAAAUCCCUCGGCUUAACCGGGGAACUGCGUCUGAUACUGGAUGGCUUGAGAUUGGGAGAGGGAUGCGGAAUUCCAGGUGUAGCGGUGAAAUGCGUAGAUAUCUGGAGGAACACCGGUGGCGAAGGCGGCAUCCUGGACCAACACUGACACUGAGGAGCGAAAGCCAGGGGAGCAAACGGG
rnacentral:rRNA from 1 species